CUCACGUUUUUAACCAAGUGCAUUUAUAGUAAAGUAUUAGUUCUUGUUUCCAAAACGAAAUAUGUUUUAAGCAAGCUUGAUUAGUUUCGUCAAUUUGAGAUACCUCAACAGGAGAUUCCUCCUUGGAACAUGGUUUGGACUAAAUAGGUAUCUGGUUUUCACUCAACUCGAGUAUAACCUAUUAAGGCCAUCAAGGAUUAUGGGAAUGCACCCAUGCAUUUCUUGUUAUAAAUUGCCCCUCAGGUUGUUCCAGUAUAAGGGGGUUGGUGGAAGAUGAAAAUGCAGUGUUGGGAAUGUAUUGGACAUUAGCCGAGCCUUGAAAGAAAUGUAGGCUGAAACUGUGGAAAGCAUGGAUUCCUGUUUCACAAACAUGUGAAAGGGGAUUUCUUUCUAGCCGAACAAGACCUGGAACAGAUGUCUGUUUGGAGUACGCUUAUCUUUGCGAGGCUUAUCAAAGCCUACUCGUCUGAAGAAUCGUCGUAACAAGGUUUCCUUCGAAAGUUGGGACCAUUCCAAAUCUGAACCUCUGAAGAUGACUUCCAGAAUUUCUAUUAAAAAGGAGUUAGUUAUUCUAGUGCAUCCGCUGGUCAUGAGCACUGAUCGGUAUAUUUUGUAUUAAACGUGUUAUAUUAUUUUCUGUAUUGUUUUGGGAGCAGUUUGCCAACCACUAUGCUAUACGGCAUUACGCCAUUUGAUCGGAACAUAUUUUGAUUACCCGUUUACUUAAUAUGUACCUUAAAUCAUGACUAUAUUCCGGAGUUACAAUAUAAAAAAUUUUAAACCUGAAGUUGGGCACUAAAACAUCUUUCAUAGCUUUCUUUAUAGAAGCGUGAAUAUUUGUUAUAAUAAGAUGCAUAUGGAAAAAUAUAAUAAAACACUUAAAAUUAUAUCCAUAGUAUGAAUUUGAGGCUGCUGAAAGGAAUAAUGCAAGAAUCCUUUCAUCCAUAAGCAAAUUACCAAACAAUUGUAGACUGAAUGGCCCAAUUUCGCAUGAAUCCAAACAUGC